UGCAGUCGAGCGAGAAAGGGGAGCAAUCCCCGAGUAAAGCGGCAGACGGGUGAGUAACACGUGGGUAAUCUGCCCUCGGGCGGGGAAUAACAUCUCGAAAGAGGUGCUAAUACCGCAUAACAUCCGUGGACCCUCGGGUUCGCGGAUCAAAGGUGGGGAUCUUCGGACCUACCACCCGAGGAGGAGCCCGCGUCUGAUUAGCUAGUUGGUGGGGUAACGGCCUACCAAGGCGACGAUCAGUAGCCGGCCUGAGAGGGUGAACGGCCACACUGGAACUGAGACACGGUCCAGACUCCUACGGGAGGCAGCAGUGAGGAAUUUUGCGCAAUGGGCGAAAGCCUGACGGAGCAACGCCGCGUGGACGAUGAAGGUCUUCGGAUCGUAAAGUCCUGUCGAGUGGGACGAAAAAUGCGAGGGCUAAUACCUUUCGCAUUCGACUGUACCACCAAAGGAAGCCCCGGCUAACUCCGUGCCAGCAGCCGCGGUAAUACGGAGGGGGCUAGCGUUGUUCGGAAUUAUUGGGCGUAAAGGGCGCGUAGGCGGCCGGAUAAGUCUGACGUGAAAUCCCUCGGCCUAACCGGGGAACUGCAUUUGAUACUGUCUGGCUCGAGUCCGGGAGAGGGUAGUGGAAUUCCCAGUGUAGCGGUGAAAUGCGUAGAUAUUGAGAGGAACACCGGUGGCGAAGGCGGCUACCUGGACCGGUACUGACGCUGAGGCGCGAAAGCUAGGGUAGCAAACAGGA
rnacentral:rRNA from 1 species